rnacentral:rRNA from 1 species
UUUAUGUCCAAGCUACUAAGGGUCCACGGUGGAUGCCUUGGCGCUAGGAGCCGAUGAAGGACGUGGCAGGCUGCGAUAAGCCUCGGGGAGCUGUCAAGCAAGCGUUGAUCCGGGGAUGUCCGAAUGGGGAAACCCGGCUGGGGUCAUGCCCAGUCACUCCGGUCUGAACACAUAGGGCCGGUAGAGGGAACCAGGGGAAUUGAAACAUCUCAGUACCCUGCAGGAAAAGAAAGCAAUAGCGACUCCCUGAGUAGUGGUGAGCGAAACGGGAUCAGCCUAAACCAGUGCGGUGUCAAAGCCCGGCGGCGUUGCCGUACUGGUGUUGUGGGAGCCAUCUGAUGACUCGUCGGGGUCAUCGAGGAGUUACAAAAUCGGGUGAUAGUCGAACCAGGCUGGAAAGUCUGGCCAUAGAAGGUAAGAGCCCUGUAGACGAAAUCACACCGAUCUCCUGAUGGAGUUCCCAAGUAUCACGGG